ACCAGUCUCUGGAUGGUCAGAGGGUCAGAAGGUGUCGUGUCUCCCUGGCCCUCCUGGGCUGACUACAGAGUGGGCGGUCCCUGCAGAGAGCCUGAAAGAGCCAGGACAGUGGGCCUGGGCUGGGCCUCUACACUCCUGCCUCUAGGAGGUAUCCAGGCCUGAAAGUCAUGGGCAACAGUGCAGGCAGCACAGUGAGGCACCGAGGCCACAGAUGAUAACAUGCUGGAGCACCUGCCAGGGAGGAUCUGAGGGCUUUGGUCUAAACAUGGAAAAGCUGAGUUCAUUUGGCCCCAAGGAGGCACCUGCAGGGAAAGGGGAAAACAGUCUUAACCCUUCCCUUGAAAAUGAAGUCACCAGACUCUUCUGCCAUCUCUCAACCAUCAGAAAGGUCUGUGCUGUGUAUUCUGCAGGUGAGGCUCCUGAUAAGAAGGAAGAGUGGCAGACCCCAUGGAAACAAUGAACUCUGUGCUCUUUGUGUCUUUUCUACGGCCAUGUUGGGGGAUGUUUGAAAGAAGUUUGAAGCUGUGUAUGAAGAGGCCGUUUUGUUUCGUGCAGCUGGGGAAACUUUCAGAAUUCUUCAAAUCCAAGAAUGUUGGGAUUUUAGAACCUUGGAAACCUGAACUUUUGAAUCCUUCUUUCCCCAGUGGUUCUUCAAAACUAUACUUUUUUUUUUUUUUUUUUUUUAGUAAUGUGAAAGACAUCUGAGUAACUCUGUCCUUAAGACUGCAGGAAAAAGAAACUGUAUCAUGUGCUUUUUGUCAUAGGAGUUACAGAAAUCCAGAUUCAUAUGGGAUGUAUGCAUUAAACUGGAAGCUGUAUCUAUUUCGUUGUUCAGCUACGCUGCCCCCCUCUGCCACUGCAAGUUUGGAUGGGUCCAGAGCCGUUUUGUGGAAAUGGACAUACUUUUGGGACAGCAUCUCAAAUUUCUUACAUGUUCUGCUUCUGGGUUGAAGUGUAAGCGGCUGCCUUUGCUGUGCAGACCUUGGGGUGAUCUGAUUCGCAGAUGUCGGAACCAUGUUGAGCCAAGGUGAAAAGAGAACGUGCCUGUUCAGAGGACCCAGUGACUUUGAUUACAAAGAUAUAUAUUACAUUUUUUCAAUGGGAUUAUGAACGUUAAGAUCCAUGUACUUCACCGGAGUAAAGAAUGGCCAUAAGGAACAAACACCCAUUUAUAAAGCUCAGAUAAAAGGGAAAUUUAUUGGCAAUUCAUAAAAGCAAUUCUCAUGAACAGAAAGCACAGGGUGAAGUUUGUCCUUGUGGGAACUAGAAAGGAGGCUGGCACCCGGUCUUCUCAUUGCUCCCUUUGUGGGGCUGUCUGGCAUUCUUUUGGGCCAGCCUCUCUGCCUCCUUGUGGUUUCUGCCUUUCCACAAUUUUAGCUUUGGCACCACUGCCUUCCCAUCUCCACAGAACUGUACGAGUUUAAUAUUGUCUUUCAAGGUUGGUGCUUCUGAGAUUCUGAUUUUUGUGAUGAGUGUAUCAGCUAUACAUUGCCAUAAUAAUGCUGCAUAACAAUCACUAACCCUGUGUGUUAUACAUGAUAAACAUGUUUUUGAAUACUCGUCUACAGGUUGUUAGUUCAGCUAAGCUGAACUGAGCUGGACAGAACUCCCUUGUAUAUUGGUAGUAAAGCUUUGGGUGGACUGGGUGGCUUUGCGAAUCUUGGAUAAACUCUUUUCUAUGACUGGAUCUCACCUGGGACAAGUGGGCUGACUUGAGAAGAAGACUGGGUGCCAGCCUGCCUUCUAGUUCCCACAAGGACAAACUUUACCCUGUGCUUUCUGUUCAUGAGAAUUCCUUUUAUGAAUUAACAAUAAAUUUCCCUUUUAUCUGA